rnacentral:rRNA from 1 species
CUUACACAUGCAGUCACUUGAAUUUGGGUUUUUAACUUAGAUUUGGGUGGCGGACGGGUGAGUAACGCGUAAAGAACUUGCCUCACAGCUAGGGACAACAUUUAGAAAUGAAUGCUAAUACCUGAUAUUAUGGUUAUAGGGCAUCCUAUAAUUAUGAAAGCUAUAUGCACUGUGAGAGAGCUUUGCGUCCCAUUAGCUAGUUGGAGAGGUAACAGCUCACCAAGGCGAUGAUGGGUAGCCGGCCUGAGAGGGUGAACGGCCACAAGGGGACUGAGACACGGCCCUUACUCCUACGGGAGGCAGCAGUGGGGAAUAUUGGACAAUGGACCGAGAGUCUGAUCCAGCAAUUCUGUGCGCACGAUGAAGUUUUUCGGAAUGUAAAGUGCUUUCAGUUGGGAAGAAAAAAAUGACGGUACCAACAGAAGAAGUGACGGCUAAAUACGUGCCAGCAGCCGCGGUAAUACGUAUGUCACGAGCGUUAUCCGGAUUUAUUGGGCGUAAAGCGCGUCUAGGUGGUUAUGUAAGUCUGAUGUGAAAAUGCAGGGCUCAACUCUGUAUUGCGUUGGAAACUGUAUAACUAGAGUACUGGAGAGGUAAGCGGAACUACAAGUGUAGAGGUGAAAUUCGUAGAUAUUUGUAGGAAUGCCGAUGGGGAAGCCAGCUUACUGGACAGAUACUGACGCUAAAGCGCGAAAGCGUGGGUAGCAAACAGGAUUAGAUACCCUGGUAGUCCACGCUGUAAACGAUGAUUACUAGGUGUUGGGGGUCGAACCUCAGCGCCCAAGCAAACGCGAUAAGUAAUCCGCCUGGGGAGUACGUACGCAAGUAUGAAACUCAAAGGAAUUGACGGGGACCCGCACAAGCGGUGGAGCAUGUGGUUUAAUUCGACGCAACGCGAGGAACCUUACCAGCGUUUGACAUCUUAGGAAUGAGAUA